rnacentral:rRNA from 1 species
GUCCAUGCCGUAAACGAUGUCUACUAGCCGUUGGGGUCUUUGAGACUUUAGUGGCGCAGCUAACGCGAUAAGUAGACCGCCUGGGGAGUACGGUCGCAAGACUAAAACUCAAAUGAAUUGACGGGGACCCGCACAAGCGGUGGAUGAUGUUCUUUAAUUCGAUGCAACGCGAAAAACCUUACCUGGUCUUGACAUAGUAAGAACUUUCCAGAGAUGGAUUGGUGCCUUCGGGAACUUACAUACAGGUGCUGCAUGGCUGUCGU